AUUUAUCCUGCAUGGCAAUGCGUUAUAGUCUGUUUUAAGGAAUCUUUUGUGCUUCUGUGCAUAUUCCUACUGCAGGCAAAGUGCUUGAGGAAGGAGCCUGUGCAGGCAGUCGGUAGUGUAGUAGCUGGCUCACGCGUAUGGAUUAGACUCGUGAGGUCAGAGGAGCUGUGUGCUGCUCUGUGCUGGUGUGGGGGGGAAGAGUGGAUUUUUCUACCCAAGUGAGUAGCGAUUCAGGCAGAAUCAUCCCUCAGCUCUUGUAAUUCUGAUGUGUUUUGAUGUGAAAGCUGCUACUGUCUAAGAUACGUGGAUCUUCUGACAUUUGUAGUGGACUGAGGAAUGCUUUUACUUGCUGCUGAGCCUGACUAUAACUGUAUCACUGUAGGACAGUAACGAUGGGGGCUCGAGCAACGGAAACAACUCGGGAACUGGAAAGCACCUCUGUAAAGUAUCAAAUAGGAGGACAUGCAGAGAAAAUGUGGCAGCGGCUCAAAGGAAUAAUCAGCAUUGCCGGAGCUGUUCCAUCAUUCCUGCCAAUAUAUGUGGAAUCAAAGUCUUCUGAAAACACAUCUCAAGCUGGAGAUACUAUUAAACUACA
rnacentral:lncRNA from 1 species